GCGACCGAUGACGAUCGCUUUCGCACUCGCCCUAAAAUGCUUUUCCUUAGCUGCUUCGCUCCAAGGGACGCCCGCGUCCGUAACAGGAAACCACACGUCGCCGGUAAUGUUUAUGCUCGCGGUCGCGUCUGGCGUCCGUGCUCGGCGUCCCAGCGUGCAGUGCGCAUUACGCGCCGCCCCCACCGACAGGAAACAAGGAGACGAAAAGUUGCGAGACCGGUUUGCAAGUCCAGUUCACCGGACCGGACUGCGGAGAAAAGGCACAAGAGCGCCACAAGGACUGAUGAACGACGCCCAGGAAUCUACCAACUACGAACCAAGGGUUCGACACCCCUGAGGGAAAUUCUGCUUCUGAAAAGCUGAUUCCUCUCUCAGUGGAUCCUGGUCCCUACGCGUCGGGAUCUUCCUCUCCCGAUGGAGAUGCUGUUACGCUUGGCGUGUAACACCCCGGGCAAAUAGGAUGCUCCACCACCAUGCCUCAUCGAAACGAAGGGUGGAUUCCUAAUUUGCUGUGGUUGACUCGAUGGAUGCCGGUCUAGCUGACGCUCGCAGUGUUCACAGGCCCCUUUGUGUGUGUGCGUGAAAACCCUUUCCGCGAACCAGCGACGCGCGAAAAAGAAGGGAUCAGCUGCCUACGAUCACCAGGACCCGCGAGUUGCCACCAGCAGAGGCAAGCUCG
rnacentral:lncRNA from 1 species